rnacentral:rRNA from 1 species
UUAGAGUUUGAUCCUGGCUCAGGACGUACGCUGGCGGCGUGCUUAACACAUGCAAGUCGAACGAGAAUCUGUGGAUCGAGGAUUCGUCCAAGUGAAGCAGAGGACAGUGGCGGACGGGUGUGUAACGCGUGAGGAACCUGCCUUUCAGAGGGGGACAACAGUUGGAAACGACUGCUAAUACCGCAUGAUACAUUUGGGUGGCAUCAUCUGAAUGCCAAAGAUUUAUCGCUGAAAGAUGGCCUCGCGUCUGAUUAGCUAGUUGGUGAGGUAACGGCCCACCAAGGCGACGAUCAGUAGCCGGACUGAGAGGUUGACCGGCCACAUUGGGACUGAGAUACGGCCCAGACUCCUACGGGAGGCAGCAGUGGGGAAUAUUGGGCAAUGGGCGCAAGCCCGACCCAGCAACGCCGCGUGAAGGAAGAAGGCUUUCGGGUUGUAAACUUCUUUUGUCAGGGACGAGUAGAAGACGGUACCUGACGAAUAAGCCACGGCUAACUACGUGCCAGCAGCCGCGGUAAUACGUAGGUGGCAAACGUUGUCCGGAUUUACUGGGUGUAAAGGGCGUGUAGCCGGGAAGGCAAGUCAGAUGUGAAAUCCACGGGCUCAACUCGUGAACUGCAUUUGAAACUGUUUUUCUUGAGUAUCGGAGAGGCAAUCGGAAUUCCUAGUGUAGCGGUGAAAUGCGUAGAUAUUAGGAGGAACACCAGUGGCGAAGGCGGAUUGCUGGACGACAACUGACGGUGAGGCGCGAAAGCGUGGGGAGCAAACAGGAUUAGAUACCCUGGUAGUCCACGCUGUAAACGAUGAAUACUAGGUGUGCGGGGACUGACCCCCUGCGUGCCGCAGUUAACACAAUAAGUAUUCCACCUGGGGAGUACGAUCGCAAGGUUGAAACUCAAAGGAAUUGACGG